rnacentral:rRNA from 1 species
UACAGAGGGGGCAAGCGUUGUUCGGAAUUACUGGGCGUAAAGGGCGCGUAGGCGGCCUUCUAAGUCGAACGUGAAAUCCCCGGGCUCAACCCGGGAACUGCGUCCGAGACUGGAAGGCUCGAAUCCGGGAGAGGGAUGUGGAAUUCCAGGUGUAGCGGUGAAAUGCGUAGAUAUCUGGAGGAACACCGGUGGCGAAGGCGGCAUUCUGGACUACAACUGACACUGAGGAACGAAAGCCAGGGGAGCAAACAGG